rnacentral:rRNA from 1 species
GCGUGAGUGAUGAAGGCCCUAGGGUUGUAAAGCUCUUUUACCAGGGAUGAUAAUGACAGUACCUGGAGAAUAAGCUCCGGCUAACUCCGUGCCAGCAGCCGCGGUAAUACGAAGGGGGCUAGCGUUGUUCGGAAUUACUGGGCGUAAAGCGCACGUAGGCGGCUUUUUAAGUCAGGGGUGAAAUCCCGGGGCUCAACCCCGGAACUGCCUUUGAAACUGGAAAGCUAGAAUCCUGGAGAGGCGAGUGGAAUUCCGAGUGUAGAGGUGAAAUUCGU